GCUGUUACUUCAACAUGAAGUGUUUUGCUUGUUUCAAUUAAUCAAGAGUCUCUUGGAAGUUGCCAUAGCAGGGCAUUCAUUACAGGGAUGUUUAAUGAGUAGAAUAUUUGUCAUUUGCAUAGAGAGAGGCUUCAGCAGUGAUUCCAGUGAUCUGUGAUAGCCAGGUACUUAGGCACCCUGUAUAUCUAUUGGAUGAAGAAGGGGAGGCAGAUGGGACCAAUUUUUCGUGAUGUCUGACAUUAAAUUUCUGAUGUGGUCUUCCAGACAGAGAUUCAAAGAGGCUGGAAUCUACCUCUCCUGCUGACUGUGAAUGAGACUGCAGUAUACUUGGCUACAAGUCCAUCUGCUCUUUAACCUUUUUUUUUUUUUUAAAUCUAUCUAAGAGUGUUUUUCCUUUGAAGUUUCCAGCACCAUUUAUGAAGGCUCAAAAGGGAUAUUAUUCAUAUGUUUCAGAUGAAGAAAGCUGAACUGUCAAAGUAACAACUGGCUUGAGAAUAACCAGUAUUCUCCAAGGCAUUUCGAAGGACCUGGGAAAAGAUCCUGUGCUUACCAGGAAAUUUCACUGAUCUUAUCAAGCCCCAAAACACAGGAAGGAGAAAAACAUCUGCACAAAUGAAAAACCAUUGCUAUCUUGUUGAAAACCCCAGUGGUAAACAUUUUUCAUAAAAUGAGAGGUAUCUGCUUCUGUGGGAUUUUUUUUAGCAGUAAAAGAAUAGAUGGUGCAAGACAAGUGAAGAGGGAUUCCAUAAAUAAUUGCAUUUCAGUCACCUGUUUGGCAUCAUCUUAAUUGUUACAACAAAUAGCGCAAGACGACAAAAAAAUGAACAGCUUUCUACUCAGAAGAUAAACUGCUUUUAAAAAAGAAAGGAAUGAAACCCAGCUCCAUAAUUUUUCGAAUCCUAGUUAAUUAAAAUGGGCAUGACUGGAGAAGCAUAGAUGCCUGAGCAGCUUUCAAGACAUUUCUCUGGCAUGUUCCCACUGACUCUGAGACCUUAUUUCCAACCGCAGUAUCUGCUUACCCUAGUGCAGCACCUUCAAACCAACCUUCCCCAAAGGAUCCAGCAGACAUGGUCUGAGACUAGAGCUAAGCACAAGCUGGAACAACAGAGUCUCAGGAGGAAUCCCAGACAAAAAAUGCACUUGGGUGAAGACAUCUCAACUACAGCCAAGUUUCAGUAUUGUGGAAUCAGCCUUCACUACAAGGAGAUUGAUGCACUGAGAAAAAUUCAAGCAGCUCUCAUCUGCUCUACUCUGCCGUGGUGAGGCAGAGCAUCACAGGAAGAGGAACAAGAAUUCAUGGGAGACAAGUACUGAUGCAGAUGAAGGAGGAAGACAAGACUUGAUCAUCUCAGAAAGAGUGCAGUAAAAGUAAAGCUGUGAGACAACAAGAAACAAGCACAGUUGUGUUGUUAUGUAUAGAAGGCCAGAGUUCAGAGAGUCUGGUUUCUUGAGGAUGAUGUAU
rnacentral:lncRNA from 1 species